UACGUAGGGGGCAAGCGUUGUCCGGAUUUAUUGGGCGUAAAGAGCUCGUAGGUGGUUCGGUAAGUCGGAUGUGAAAUCUCCAGGCUCAACCUGGAGGGGUCAUUCGAUACUGCCGUGACUAGAGUUCGGUAGGGGAGUGUGGAAUUCCGUGGUGGAGCGGUGAAAUGCGCAGAUAUCAGGAGGAACACCCGUAGCGAAGGCGGCACUCUGGGCCGAUACUGACACUGAGGAGCGAAAGCGUGGGGAGCGAACAGG
rnacentral:rRNA from 1 species